rnacentral:rRNA from 1 species
AGAAUCAACGCUGGCGGCGUGCCUAACACAUGCAAGUCGAACGAGAAAGGGGAGCAAUCCCUGAGUAAAGUGGCGCACGGGUGAGUAACACGUGACUAACCUACCCUGGAGUGGGGGAUAACUGAGGGAAACCUUAGCUAAUACCGCAUAACACCUACGGGUCAAAGGAGCAAUUCGCUUUGGGAGGGGGUCGCGGCCGAUUAGUUAGUUGGCGGGGUAAUGGCCCACCAAGACAGUGAUCGGUAUCCGGCCUGAGAGGGCGCACGGACACACUGGAACUGAAACACGGUCCAGACUCCUACGGGAGGCAGCAGUGGGAAUUUUGCGCAAUGGGGAAACCCUGACGCAGCAACGCCGCGUGGAGGAUGAAGUACUUCGGUACGUAAACUCCUUUCGAUCGGGACGAUAAUGACGGUACCGGAAGAAGAAGCCCGGCUAACUUCGCGCCAGCAGCCGC